rnacentral:rRNA from 1 species
GACGAACGCUGGCGGCGUGCUUAACACAUGCAAGUCGAACGGAAAGGCCCUGCUUUUGUGGGGUGCUCGAGUGGCGAACGGGUGAGUAACACGUGAGUAACCUGCCCGUGACUUUGGGAUAACUUCAGGAAACUGGGGCUAAUACCGGAUAGGAGCUCCUGCUGCAUGGUGGGGGUUGGAAAGUUUCGGCGGUUGGGGAUGGACUCGCGGCUUAUCAGCUUGUUGGUGGGGUAGUGGCUUACCAAGGCUUUGACGGGUAGCCGGCCUGAGAGGGUGACCGGCCACAUUGCGACUGAGCUACGGCCCAGACUACUACGGGAGGCAACGGUGGAGAGUAUUGCACAAUGGGCGGAAGCCUGAUGCAGCAACGCCGCGUGCGGGAUGACGGCCUUCGGGUUGUAAACCGCUUUCGCCUGUGACGAAGCGUGAGUGACGGUACUGGGUAAAGAAGCACCGGCUAACUACGUG